UAAGCCUUGUUUGAUACACAGUACAAUAAAAUGGAGUACUUAAAACCGGACAACCAGACGUAGCAAUCGAUCCCGGAGCUCAAUGCCAGGCCCUUCCGCUGCAAGGUAUGCCCCGAGGAUUUCCAAUACAAUCCUUGCUUAACCAGCAAGUUAUAAAUCACCUGGGUGCGAUUUUUCAGGAUUUGCAACAAUGAAGAUCCCACUCUUCAGCGGAGAACUAAAGGUGCACAGGCGACCGCACAAGGAUAUAUCCAAGGCACUUCCAAAGAGACUUGCAAAGACUCAGCUGAUUAACGAGCGUGCUAAGUCGAUCUACUUUAAGCUAAAGCAAAGCGAAAAAUCAAUGCAAUAGAAUAUCAGCAGGAACGUUAGUUAUACUUUAUAUGUACUUGCAUAGCUUUAUUUAUACGUAAUUCUACGAAAGUAGCAGAAUUGGUAUCGCAUACUAUCUCCCUCUCUCUCUCUCUCUCUCUUAUCAUAUAUUAUCCGUUUUCAUCUUUCCUGUUUUUUGUGCGAUAUAUCUGUUUUCUCUCUUUCACUUCUCAAACACAGCUAAUAUGUGCUGCUGUCUCGCUCCGCUCCGAUAGCGGUGCACACUGCACGAGAAAGAGUGAGAGAGAAGGAGUAAGCGCGUGGAAAGGGUAGCAUAGCCAAUGCACAUAGCCUUCUGUCUUAGUGAACCGAUCUAAUCCACAUUCGUCAAUCUGCUAGAUAUGGUAACUUUCCUAAUAUUCAUAAAGCUGCCUAGCUGAUUGAUUUAAAUCAAAAA